GAUGAACGCUGGCGGCGUGCCUAAUACAUGCAAGUCGAGCGAACAGACGAGGAGCUUGCUCCUCUGGCGUUAGCGGCGGACGGGUGAGUAACACGUGAAUAACCUACCUAUAAGACUGGGAUAACUUCGUGAAACCGUAGCUAAUACCGGAUAAUAUAUUUAACUGCAUGGUUCAAUAGUGGAAGACGGUUGUGCUGUCACUUAUAGAUGGAUCCGCGCCGCAUUAUCUAGUUGGUAAGGUAACGGCUUACCACGGCGACGAUGCGUAGCCGACCUGAGAGGGGGGGCGGCACGACUGGACCUGAGACACGAUCCAGACUAGUACGCGAGGCGGGAGUAGGGUAGCUACCGCUAUGCGCGAGAGCCUGGCGGAGCAACGCGGCGCGAGUGAUGAAGGUCUUGGGAUCGUAAAACUCUGUUAUUAGGGAAGAAAAAAUGUGUAAGUACCUAUGCACGUGUUGACGGUACCUAAUCAGAAAGCCACGGCUAACUACGUG
rnacentral:rRNA from 1 species